CAAGCUGAAACCGUAUGGAUUCCCAAUACAUGGAUGUAUAGAUGGUUAUUCUAGGAAGAUAUUGUGGCUUGUAGUUGGGCCAUCCAAUAACAACCCAGCGAUUGUUGGUCAACAUUUCCUGAAUUGUGUGAGAACCUUGCAAGAGGAUAGAAUGUUGGUGGAGCAUGAUGCGAAGACAUCAAAUGGAAUGGUGGAUACAUUUUUUUAAGGACCUAGAAGUUUUUGGUGCCUUUCAAAGGGGGAAUCUGCAUCACAUAUAUGCAAUACGGUUUUCAUUCAUGCCACUUUUACAAGAUGAAUUGAAUAACUUAGUGGAACAGUGGAACAACCAUUCUAUUUCAUACAAUAGGCAUGCAGCUUGCCCCCAUGGGAAACCAACAGUACUUUAUUUGCUACCUGAAGA